rnacentral:rRNA from 1 species
UUGAACGCUGGCGGCAGGCCUAACACAUGCAAGUCGAACGGUAACAGGAAGCAGCUUGCUGCUUUGCUGACGAGUGGCGGACGGGUGAGUAAUGUCUGGGAAACUGCCCGAUGGAGGGGGAUAACUACUGGAAACGGUAGCUAAUACCGCAUAACGUCGCAAGACCAAAGAGGGGGACCUUAGGGCCUCUUGCCAUCGGAUGUGCCCAGAUGGGAUUAGCUAGUAGGUGGGGUAACGGCUCACCUAGGCGACGAUCCCUAGCUGGUCUGAGAGGAUGACCAGCCACAAUGGAACUGAGACACGGUCCAGACUCCUACGGGAGGCAGCAGUGGGGAAUAUUGCACAAUGGGCUCAAGCCUGAUGCAGCCAUGCCGCGUGUAUGAAGAAGGCCUUCGGGUUGUAAAGUACUUUCAGCGGGGAGGAAGGGAGUAAAGUUAAUACCUUUGCUCAUUGACGUUACCCGCAGAAGAAGCACCGGCUAACUCCGUG